ACUUGGAGGGCUUCAGUGGCUCGGAGUCACGUGGUCAGUAGCGGAGCUGGGAUUUGAACCCAGGUAGUGUGAUGUCAGAGCGCAUGCGAUCAGGAGUGAGCAGCUGUUUGAUUUCGGUUAGCAAGAGCGGGACAACUACCUCCUCACACCUUGCUGUGACAUUUCAGUAACCAAGUGUUCCAAAGGACCUUGUAGAGGUAUUUUCCUCUGUGUUCAAGCCACACGUGAAGCCCUCCUCUGGCAAAUGGUGGAGACCUUGAGGCACAGAAAUACAGCUGAAGACAAGCCAGUCACCUGGUUCUCAUUUGAGGCCUUUUCUCAUUGUUCUCCUGGGCGUCAUCCUCAGAGGGAAGCAAUUUUUCUUCAGUUGGCGAGCAGAGCCGAAAGGGGCCUAGCCAGGACCGCAGCACUGGUUAGUGGCACAACUUGGACAAGAACCCGGUUAUUAGUGAAUUCCUCUUUUCUUCUUUUGAUUUCCUGUGCCAGUUUCAGGAAUCUCAAGGGGUACAGUAUAGUGAUUCAGCAAGUCCACACGUUAUUCAGUGCUCCUCGUGGUAAGUGCACUCUUAAUCCCCAAUGCCUGUUUCACCCACCCCCUCACCCACCUCCCUUCUGGUAACCAUCAGUUUGUUCUCCAUAGUUAAGAGUCUGUUUCUUGGUUUGUCUCCUUUUUUCUUUGUUCAUUUGUUUUAUUUCUUAAAUUUCACGUGUGAGUGAAAUCAUAAAUUUU
rnacentral:lncRNA from 1 species